CCAUGAAAAUGAAGAAAGUAAAGCACGGGUGAUGAUUAAUUCAUCUGAUCAAAAUCAUCUCUUUCGCUACGUUCUUUCUGAUUCAUGU